rnacentral:ribozyme from 1 species
UGCCCAGCAACUCCUAUCCCUACCUCCUCGUGGUACCGGCCGGAAACUAUGAGCAACCUUAGGGAAGAUCGGGUAACCAACCCCGGUGGGGACUUUGGUCGUAGGCUGACAGGGAAGG